GGGUUGUGAGGUUAAGCGACUAAGCGUACACGGUGGAUGCCCUGGCAGUCAGAGGCGAUGAAGGACGUGCUAAUCUGCGAUAAGCGUCGGUGAGGUGAUAUGAACCGUUAUAACCGGCGAUUUCCGAAUGGGGAAACCCAGUGUGUUUCGACACACUAUCAUUAACUGAAUCCAUAGGUUAAUGAGGCGAACCGGGGGAACUGAAACAUCUAAGUACCCCGAGGAAAAGAAAUCAACCGAGAUUCCCCCAGUAGCGGCGAGCGAACGGGGAGGAGCCCAGAGCCUGAAUCAGUGUGUGUGUUAGUGGAAGCGUCUGGAAAGGCGUGCGAUACAGGGUGACAGCCCCGUACACAAAAAUGCACAUAUUGUGAGCUCGAUGAGUAGGGCGGGACACGUGGUAUCCUGUCUGAAUAUGGGGGGACCAUCCUCCAAGGCUAAAUACUCCUGACUGACCGAUAGUGAACCAGUACCGUGAGGGAAAGGCGAAAAGAACCCCGGCGAGGGGAGUGAAAAAGAACCUGAAACCGUGUACGUACAAGCAGUGGGAGCACAGAGCAAUCUGUGUGACUGCGUACCUUUUGUAUAAUGGGUCAGCGACUUAUAUUCUGUAGCAAGGUUAACCGAAUAGGGGAGCCGAAGGGAAACCGAGUCUUAACUGGGCGUUAAGUUGCAGGGUAUAGACCCGAAACCCGGUGAUCUAGCCAUGGGCAGGUUGAAGGUUGGGUAACACUAACUGGAGGACCGAACCGACUAAUGUUGAAAAAUUAGCGGAUGACUUGUGGCUGGGGGUGAAAGGCCAAUCAAACCGGGAGAUAGCUGGUUCUCCCCGAAAGCUAUUUAGGUAGCGCCUCGUGAAUUCAUCUCCGGGGGUAGAGCACUGUUUCGGCAAGGGGGUCAUCCCGACUUACCAACCCGAUGCAAACUGCGAAUACCGGAGAAUGUUAUCACGGGAGACACACGGCGGGUGCUAACGUCCGUCGUGAAGAGGGAAACAACCCAGACCGCCAGCUAAGGUCCCAAAGUCAUGGUUAAGUGGGAAACGAUGUGGGAAGGCCCAGACAGCCAGGAUGUUGGCUUAGAAGCAGCCAUCAUUUAAAGAAAGCGUAAUAGCUCACUGGUCGAGUCGGCCUGCGCGGAAGAUGUAACGGGGCUAAACCAUGCACCGAAGCUGCGGCAGCGACGCUUAUGCGUUGUUGGGUAGGGGAGCGUUCUGUAAGCCUGCGAAGGUGUGCUGUGAGGCAUGCUGGAGGUAUCAGAAGUGCGAAUGCUGACAUAAGUAACGAUAAAGCGGGUGAAAAGCCCGCUCGCCGGAAGACCAAGGGUUCCUGUCCAACGUUAAUCGGGGCAGGGUGAGUCGACCCCUAAGGCGAGGCCGAAAGGCGUAGUCGAUGGGAAACAGGUUAAUAUUCCUGUACUUGGUGUUACUGCGAAGGGGGGACGGAGAAGGCUAUGUUGGCCGGGCGACGGUUGUCCCGGUUUAAGCGUGUAGGCUGGUUUUCCAGGCAAAUCCGGAAAAUCAAGGCUGAGGCGUGAUGACGAGGCACUACGGUGCUGAAGCAACAAAUGCCCUGCUUCCAGGAAAAGCCUCUAAGCAUCAGGUAACAUCAAAUCGUACCCCAAACCGACACAGGUGGUCAGGUAGAGAAUACCAAGGCGCUUGAGAGAACUCGGGUGAAGGAACUAGGCAAAAUGGUGCCGUAACUUCGGGAGAAGGCACGCUGAUAUGUAGGUGAAGUCCCUCGCGGAUGGAGCUGAAAUCAGUCGAAGAUACCAGCUGGCUGCAACUGUUUAUUAAAAACACAGCACUGUGCAAACACGAAAGUGGACGUAUACGGUGUGACGCCUGCCCGGUGCCGGAAGGUUAAUUGAUGGGGUUAGCGCAAGCGAAGCUCUUGAUCGAAGCCCCGGUAAACGGCGGCCGUAACUAUAACGGUCCUAAGGUAGCGAAAUUCCUUGUCGGGUAAGUUCCGACCUGCACGAAUGGCGUAAUGAUGGCCAGGCUGUCUCCACCCGAGACUCAGUGAAAUUGAACUCGCUGUGAAGAUGCAGUGUACCCGCGGCAAGACGGAAAGACCCCGUGAACCUUUACUAUAGCUUGACACUGAACAUUGAGCCUUGAUGUGUAGGAUAGGUGGGAGGCUUUGAAGUGUGGACGCCAGUCUGCAUGGAGCCGACCUUGAAAUACCACCCUUUAAUGUUUGAUGUUCUAACGUUGACCCGUGAUCCGGGUUGCGGACAGUGUCUGGUGGGUAGUUUGACUGGGGCGGUCUCCUCCUAAAGAGUAACGGAGGAGCACGAAGGUUGGCUAAUCCUGGUCGGACAUCAGGAGGUUAGUGCAAUGGCAUAAGCCAGCUUGACUGCGAGCGUGACGGCGCGAGCAGGUGCGAAAGCAGGUCAUAGUGAUCCGGUGGUUCUGAAUGGAAGGGCCAUCGCUCAACGGAUAAAAGGUACUCCGGGGAUAACAGGCUGAUACCGCCCAAGAGUUCAUAUCGACGGCGGUGUUUGGCACCUCGAUGUCGGCUCAUCACAUCCUGGGGCUGAAGUAGGUCCCAAGGGUAUGGCUGUUCGCCAUUUAAAGUGGUACGCGAGCUGGGUUUAGAACGUCGUGAGACAGUUCGGUCCCUAUCUGCCGUGGGCGCUGGAGAACUGAGGGGGGCUGCUCCUAGUACGAGAGGACCGGAGUGGACGCAUCACUGGUGUUCGGGUUGUCAUGCCAAUGGCACUGCCCGGUAGCUAAAUGCGGAAGAGAUAAGUGCUGAAAGCAUCUAAGCACGAAACUUGCCCCGAGAUGAGUUCUCCCUGACUCCUUGAGAGUCCUGAAGGAACGUUGAAGACGACGACGUUGAUAGGCCGGGUGUGUAAGCGCAGCGAUGCGUUGAGCUAACCGGUACUAAUGAACCGUGAGGCUUAACCUUACAACGCCGAAG
rnacentral:rRNA from 1 species